CAAGUCGCACGAGAAAGUGGAGCAAUCCAUGAGUACAGUGGCGUACGGGUGAGUAACACGUGGAUCAUCUACCUUUUAGUGGGGAAUACCCCCGGGAAACUGGGGAUAAUACCGCAUAAUCUCGUAAGAGGAAAGCAGCAAUGCGCUGAAAGAGGAGUCCGCGGCUGAUUAGCUAGUUGGUGAGGUAAUGGCUCACCAAGGCGAAGAUCGGUAGCCGGCCUGAGAGGGCACACGGCCACACUGGCACUGAAACACGGGCCAGACUCCUACGGGAGGCAGCAGUGGGGAAUCUUGCACAAUGGAGGAAACUCUGAUGCAGCGACGCCGCGUGAGCGAUGAAGCCCUUCGGGGUGUAAAGCUCUUUCGACGGGAACGAUAAUGACGGUACCCGAAGAAGAAGCUGCGGCUAACUACGUGCCAGCAGCCGCGGUAAUACGUAGGCAGCAAGCGUUGUUCGGAAUUACUGGGCGUAAAGAGUGUGUAGGCGGUGCUCUAAGUCUGUUGUGAAAACUCCCGGCUUAACCGGGAGGGUGCGGCGGAAACUGGAGUGCUUGAGGGUGGGAGAGGUAAGCGGAAUUCCUGGUGUAGCGGUGAAAUGCGUAGAUAUCAGGAGGAACACCUGUGGUGUAGACAGCUUACUGGACCACUUCUGACGCUGAGACACGAAAGCGUGGGUAGCAAACAGGAUUAGAUACCCUGGUAGUCCACGCCCUAAACGAUGCAUACUUGGUGUGAGCGAUUCAUUUCGUUCGUGCCGGAGCUAACGCGUUAAGUAUGCCGCCUGGGGAGUACGGUCGCAAGGCUGAACUCAAAGGAAUUGACGGGGGCCC
rnacentral:rRNA from 1 species